GGUGAAACUUUUCAUCUCACUUGUUUGCUCAGAUUCUGAAACAAUUGCACAUUAAACAUAAUCAGACAUCUGUUCACCAGCCAGGGCACCUAGAGCGUUUCAAUCGUACACUUAAGUCAAUGUUGCAUGCAUAUUGUACCCAAAUUAAUGGAGACUGGGAAGAGGGUUUGCCCUGGCUAUUGCUGUCUUCUAGGGAGGUUAUCCAGGAGAGCAAGGACCAGAACAACCUUUUGUUUGGCACUUUUGCAGGACCAUUGGAAAGAGGCACUCCCGCCACAAAACUUGAUUGAUUACAUUCAUGGCUUUAGGUAUAGGCUUUAUAAAGCCCAGGAAGUGGACAAGAUCAAGUUAGUGUCUGCACAGAGCAGGAUGAAAAAACUUUAUGAUAGUCAGGUAGAGAGUCAUGUUUUUCUCGCAGGAGAUCGGGUGCUAGCUCUGUUGCCCAUUGCAACCUCUCCAUUACAGAGUUCAGUGAAGUCUUCUGGCCCAUAUUCUGUUGAAAAGGUGUUGUCAGAUCAGAAAUAUUUAAUAGCUACUCCUAACCGUAGAGCCUCUACUCUACUCUAGCUCUGUCAGCUCUGUCCACUCCUGUGCGCAUCAGUCAGUUAGUAAGGCCCUGAUGAAGCUGUUCUUUAUGGUCAACUUAAAAAGUGAGUCCUUGCAGAAUCUGGAUGAUUUAUUGGGUCAUUUGAAGGUUUCCAAAAACGGUUAACUUGCUGACUUAAUUAAACAAUACCCAUAUUUGUUUGGCAAUACGCCUAUGUGCACACAUUUGAUUAAGCAUGAUAUAGAUGUUGGAGACUCUGAACUGAUUAGCCAGAGGUUUUAUCAUGGUCAUCCGCAGACAAGGAAAUAUCUUUAUGCAGAGGUCAUGUAUAUGCUUGAUAAUUGUAUUGCAGAGCCAUCGUCAUCCAGUUGGGCAUCAACUUGCCUGCUGGUACCUAGGGUCAGACAACACUCCAAGAUUCUGUUCAGAUUUCCGCAAGAUCUUUGGAUGGGUGGAGCUGACAUGCCAUUGAGUACUAAAUGGGAACACCUGGCCAGUAUCCCUGAACUUAAACUUAAAGGCUCCAGUUUGGAGAAUGUCGUGGUGUCUAGCUGUAAAUUUGCAGAUUGCAACCAACUGAAUACCCCUCUCCUCAUCCUCCCCUUCCAAGCAUGGAGGAGAACCUUCGACGGCCACGAAAUCCACGAGAAACGCGAAAGGCCCUCUCUAGAGCCAGUGUUUGAUUUGUCCCUUUUGGGCUGCUGUAGAAACGUGAGGUAGUUCAGGCAGUUCAUCAUGACAGGCAGGCAUGAUAUAAAUGGCUCAUUCUAAGGUAACGAAAAUACAACAAUUCUUAUUUUCAUGUGAUUAUACACUAAUAAUUUGUUUUUCGUUACCCUUUUGUUUGUUUUUUUAAACUGACAACACGCACCUCACAUUAGUCAUCACAUUCAUACACUUUCAAACAUCACAGACAAUGAUUUUCACACUUCAUUGCAUUUACUUUUGUUACUUACUUUAAUAAAUUUAAAGUUCGA